CCGGAUUUGAGCCGCCCAGGGUUGAUUUUGAGAUAUGAGCUAACAGCAAAGAGCAGCUGCUCUUUUAAGGCAAGCAGCAAAAUUGUUGAAUGUCAAAACAAGUGACAGGAGUACACAAUACCAGCACCUGCAUCAGUAGCCUCUGUCAGAAGCACUAGUGCUGCAAAGGCAAUUUUUGCUCCCGACAGUAAAAGAAGGAGGCAUGGACAUGCAAAUACAAGAACUGUGGCAGUGCCAGCACUAGACUAUUAUACCCAGGAGUAAUAAGGUCCCUGGUUACAACUAAUGACCACCUGUUGAAGGAGCUAGAUGAGACCCGGGAGAGACACCAGCACAGAGGGGAAUCAGAUUAACUGAAGCUACAAGCAGCACAAGAAAAACCUUCAGAGACCAGUCUAGAUGUUCUAAUAAUGAUAAUAGAGUGUGCUUUGUGUUUUAUUGCUAAAAAUUUGGCUGCUCUGUAUCCAAUAUCUGAAGUGGUAUUUUAUUAAGAUUUAGAAAAAAAUAAGGCUUUAUGCAUGUGUGUGAAGUGUCGUCCCAGAUUAGCUUAAGUUGUCCACACAUUGUUAUCUGGGACAACACUUUCAGCCUAGACUGGAUUUUUGUAAUAAAUACUUUCUUUAAACAAAAAAUCUCAUUAAAACCAGAAAGUGUCUUCCCUGAUUAGCCUGUGCGGACCGUACAAGUUAAUCUGCGACGACACUUUAGGAACAUGCAUUAAACCCCAUUUUCCCAGAGCAAGGGUCAAUUGUAUUUAUUUCCUUUCAUUAUUCGCAACCCCUUUAUUUAAGGAUCAUACUGAUUCUAAAUGCCUAUUUAUUAAGCUCAAUAUUCAGUCAUAACCAAAAAGUGUCAUAAGAUCUUUGUUAAGACAGGACCCUGAAUUCUAGCAUUUAAUGAGGUUAUGUGCUUUUCCGCACUUAUUCUAUGUCUUUUAUAAGUAAAAGGUGAACACUAGCAACAAUAUAAUUUGCUACCAAAAAUGUUUACCAUAAAUUACUUCUUUUACAUGAAAGAAGUUGACGUGUGUAAAAAAAGUUUGGCAAACAAACUGACAGGUAACAAUCAGUUUAUUUAUUGUGCAUCCAGGCAUUUACAUAUAACCAGACAGUAGUGCAAUCUCACAUGUAUAUGUAGGUUUUUAACUUAUAUUGCACCAGUUUAUAGAUUGUUUUGAAAACAAAUGUAUGAUCAUGGUAAAGUUACGUAUGUCUAGUCAUAAGCAGUAUGUGUGUGAUACACUAGCAACAGCACCGGAGGAAUCAUUUUGUUUUCAGAUGAUCAGUCUUCGAAAUUAGCUUUGAAAAGUUACAUGCCAGUCGGGCCAGUUACUUAAGAAUUUUUACAUGCCCAACAUAUUUUUUACAUGCCCAAACUUUUUAAUCAAAAUUAUAACAAAUCACAACAUUUUAACACUUACAUGCUACACAUAGUAAAGCAGAACAUUGUUUUCAAUAGUAGUGAAUACAAUUACAUCUAAUCAGUCACUAGAAUUAAGACGGUCGAUCGUUACACCAGUGCUCUUGAAAAGAGCGUUCUCUGGUGUCCUCGUACCAUUUCUUGGCUUCCUUUUUCUCUAAAUCAUUGUCAAUUUUCUAUUUUAUAAGUGCUUUAUCGGGCUUAGCCCCAUCAACAUACCUAAGAUACUGCAUAGCCUCUAUGUCGACAAUGGCAUUUGUUUACAUUGACAAAAACGGAAGCGUAUUACUUGAUUGAAAUGAUCGAUUCAAAAAGCAUCUUCUCGAUUAAUGUCUAGAUAAACCGUCGAUAAGAACCGAAUGUGACCGAACUGCAUCGGUCAAAAACAAUAACGAUGACGUGUGCAAGCAGGUGCAUGUUGUUAAACCAAUGGAAUUUCAUUGUUUUACAACUUACGGCAAGGUGUUUGUUAGCAAAAUUGAAAUAAAUAUCUGCAAAUAUCAAGAACCGCUUACGAUUUUUUUUAUAAACUGUCAAUAGGCUUCAAUAAUUUACAUGCCCGGCGGGCCACAAACGUGAAUUUUUGUAUGUGCCCGGCAGUAAUUUUACUCGCCACGGGCGAUCGGGCGUGUGCUAAUUUCGAAGACUGGAUGAUGUUUAUGUAAUGUGUGUU